CUCUUAUAUCUUAUCUCAAAAUUUCAGCCCUGUUGGAGCAGUUUUGAGACCUGUAUAACAUUUGAAGUGCGAUCUGUUCAGAAGCAAAUUUGCUCCGAAUUUCAACAAGAUGUCGAAUGAACCUAGACUCGAUUUUCCAAUGCUUGACUCAACAGGCUCGGAAUACCAUGGCUGGGUAACCAACGUUGAGAACCAUCUCACUACGAGAGGGAUAUUGCCCAUAAUACAGGCACCUAACCAGGGCCUUGUGUUCCAACGAACACCCACAAAGCAUGCUGCUCAAGUAAUUAUCUUGAUGUGAUACCAUAUGGAUCAAUUGAAGCAUUGGUUCAAGCAAUGCCAUGCAAGUACCCAACUAGCUGCAAGCUACAAGGAGUAUAGGCAAUUGAGAGAGCAAGAAAUCAAUCUUGCUGAAGAUGAAGAUAUCAAUCUUGCUGAAGAUGAAGAUGGUGAAGAUAUCACUCUCACCACUGAGGACUUCAAAGUUGUAAAGAGCACGAGGAUGCCGCAGACUUUGAUUAGAAUAGUCCUUUUCUAUUUUCCAAUAAAACGGCAAAUGUGCCUUAGUCAACAAAUGACAAUUGUAUUGACUCUUUCUCAUGUGGCGUACCCAAUGAAGUAUGAUGUCUAGGAAAGUAAUUGAGAUCGGGGUAUUUAAGCGAGCCUCGCUCCACCAACAUCUCUCUACUUCCCUGGUCAUAUUUCAUUGGAAUUACCAAACGGAUUGGCAAUUACAAUUUGUAUAAGUUUGAUUUUAUUUUGGAAUAGAUUUUGGAAACUUUGAUGUAA